rnacentral:rRNA from 1 species
CAGCAGCCGCGGGAAAACGGAGGGGGCUAGCGUUGUUCGGAAUUAUUGGGCGUAAAGGGUGCGUAGGCGGCUUGACAAGUCUUGUGUGAAAUCUAUGGGCUCAACCCAUAGUCUGCACGGGAAACUGUCGGGCUUGAGAAUGGGAGAGGUGAGUGGAAUUUCCGGUGUAGCGGUGAAAUGCGCAGAUAUCAGGAGGAACACCGAUGGCGAAGGCAGGUCUCUGGGCAUUAACUGACGCUGAGGAGCGAAAGCAUGGGGAGCGAACAGGAUUAGAUACCCCCGUAGUCCCUGUCUCUUAUAC